UGAGUACGAGAUGCUACGGCAUCGAAGCAGUCUAUGUCAUACUUCCAAGAAAAGCUUGCAAUGUCAUAAACAAAUAAUGCCUGUACCAUAACCGACACAGGUGGGUAGGUAGAGUAUACUAAGGGGCGCGAGAUAACUCUCUCUAAGGAACUCGGCAAAAUGACUCCGUAACUUCGGGAGAAGGAGUGCCUUAUUUUUAUAAGGUUGCAAUAACAAGAUCCAAGCAACUGUUUACCAAAAACACAGGUCUCCGCUAAGUCGUAAGACGAUGUAUGGGGGCUGACGCCUGCCCAGUGCCAGAAGGUUAAAGAAGUUGGUUAGCAUUAGCGAAGCUGAUAACUGAAGCCCUGGUGAACGGCGGCCGUAACGAUAACGGUCCUAAGGUAGCGAAAUUCCUUGUCGGGUAAGUUCCGACCCGCACGAAAGGCGUAAUGAUUUGGAUACUGUCUCGGAGAGGGGCUCGGUGAAAUAGACUUGUCUGUGAAGAUGCGGACUACCUGCACCUGGACAGAAAGACCCUAUGAAGCUUUACUGUAACUUGAGAUUGAAAUUGGACUUUAUCUGCGCAGUAUAGGUGGGAGACGUUGAAAAUAUUCUUGCGGGAAUAUUGGAGUCAUCAGUGAGAUACCACUCUUAUAAUGUUAGAUUUCUAACUUUGUAUCAUUAUCUGGUCAAAGAACAGUUUCAGGCGGGCAGUUUGACUGGGGCGGUCGCCUCCCAAACGGUAACGGAGGCGCACAAAGGUUUCCUCUGAACGUGUAGAAAUCGUAUCUAGAGUGUAAAGGCAUAAGGAAGCUUGACUGUGAGACCUACAAGUCGAGCAGGGACGAAAGUCGGUCUUAGUGAUCUGACGGUGCUGAGUGGAAAGGCCGUCACUCAACGGAUAAAAGUUACUCUAGGAUAACAGGCUGAUCUCCCCCAAGAGUUCACAUCGACGGGGAGGUUUGGCACCUCGAUGUCGGCUCAUCGCAUCCUGGGGCGGUAGUACGUCCCAAGGGUUGGGCUGUUCGCCCAUGAAAGCGGUACGCGAGCUGGGUUCAGAACGUCGUGAGACAGUUCGGUCCAUAUCCGGUGUAGGCGUUAGAAUAUUGAGAGGAGCCUUCUUUAGUACGAGAGGACCGAGAAGGACAUACCUCUGGUGUACCAGUUAUCGUGCCAACGGUAAACGCUGGGUAGCCAUGUAUGGAGAGGAUAACCGCUGAAAGCAUCUAAGUGGGAAGCCCACCUCAAGAUAAGUAUUCUU
rnacentral:rRNA from 1 species